CCUACGGGAGGCAGCAGUGAGGAAUAUUGGUCAAUGGACGCAAGUCUGAACCAGCCAUGCCGCGUGCAGGAAGACGGCUCUAUGAGUUGUAAACUGCUUUUGUACGGGGGUAAACGCAGAUACGCGUAUCUGUCUGAAAGUAUCGUACGAAUAAGGAUCGGCUAACUCCGUACCAGCAGCCGCGGUACUACGGAGGAUUCAAGCGUUAUCCGGAUUUAUUGGGUUUAAAGGGUGCGUAGGCGGUCGGAUAAGUUAGAGGUGAAAUUCCGGGGCUCAACCUCGGAAUUGCCUCUGAUACUGUUCGGCUAGAGAGUAGUUGCGGUAGGCGGAAUGUAUGGUGUAGCGGUGAAAUGCUUAGAGAUCAUACAGAACACCGAUUGCGAAGGCAGCUUACCAAGCUACUUCUGACGUUGAGGCACGAAAGCGUGGGGAGCAAACAGGAUUAGAUACCCCUGUAGUC
rnacentral:rRNA from 1 species